GACGAACCGAGCGAACGUUGUUCGGAAUCACUGGGCUUAAAGGGUGCGUAGGCGGUCGGGUAAGUCUGACGUGAAAUCUUCAAGCUCAACUUGGAAACUGCGUCCGAUACUAUUCGGCUAGAGGAAUGGAGGGGAGACUGGAAUACUUGGUGUAGCAGUGAAAUGCGUAGAUAUCAAGUGGAACACCAGUGGCGAAGGCGAGUCUCUGGACAUUUCCUGACGCUGAGGCACGAAAGCCAGGGGAGCAAACGGG
rnacentral:rRNA from 1 species